GCGCCCGUAGCUAAGUUGGUUGUAGCGGAGUCCUUAUAAGGCUUGUUUUACCUGAGUUCGAGUCUCAGCGGGCGUA
rnacentral:tRNA from 1 species